rnacentral:hammerhead_ribozyme from 1 species
AUCCACCUGAAGAGUCCCAAAUAGGACGAAACGUGCGUCCUAGAU